GUAAUUCGUUAUAUAUCCUAACUUUGACUUUAUAACUCGCUUUUGCUUGGUUCACUGGAUUCGGAACACUUGUUUCCAUAGAUUUUCUAACACUCAAUAAAAAGUUGCAAUUGAAGGGCGAUAUUUCAAAAUGUACUAUUUCCAUUUUACACUUUUUUGAGAAAUCACGAUUUUUUAUUUAUAAUUACCAGUGGAAAUAGUACAUUAUGUGUUUAAUUCAAUAAUUGAAUUAAAUAAUUAUUAUAACAUAGGUAAGAUAAUAUAUAAUAUUAUAUAAUAUAAUUAUUAUAUUUCCUAUCUUCAUACUAUGGGAAAUAGUAAAAUAUGGCAUACUUUGCAUCAAUUUGUCAAAUGAACAAACUAUUUAACAUGGGAAAUAUUAUGAUUUGAAAUAAUUUUGGAAAUAGUGCGUUUUGCGUCAUAUAUGAGUUUCAGGUUGAUUUUAACAAAGGGAAUAGUACGUUUUGGUCCAAUUUGACCACGCCAUUUGAUUCCACGUACAUUUUUUCAUAUGAUUCGAUGUAUAACUCAUUUCAUGACAUUUUGGAGAUCGCACGUUUUGAAAUGUCACCCAUCAAUUGCACGUGAGAAUCCGGGGUCUUUGGUGUUACCAUAAACGACCGAUCCGACUCCUGUACUCAGCAAAUUAAGUGAUGAAAACAUUUUAAUAAUGCACCCAUAAUGUCAUCUGUCAGAUUUUGCAGUAACUUACCUAUCUCAAGUUUUUCUGCAAGCUCAAAUGCUACUCAACAGUGUUAAAAGUUUGUGCUGUUUACAUUUUACUGUUAUUUUUUACACGAGCGUGACACCAAGUCCUAGUCAACAGCAGAGCGGUUACCUACUCUAUCCCUGUUCACUUUUAACAUAAAUCUUAU